GACGAACGCUGGCGGCGUGCUUAACACAUGCAAGUCGAACGAUGAAGCCGGAGCUUGCUCUGGUGAAUUAGUGGCGAACGGGUGAGUAACACGUGAGUAACCUGCCCUUGACUCUGGGAUAACUGCGGGAAACUGUAGCUAAUACCGGAUACGACCCUCGGAGGCAUCUCCUGGGGGUGGAAAGAAUUUCGGUCAAGGAUGGACUCGCGGCCUAUCAGCUAGUUGGUGAGGUAAAGGCUCACCAAGGCGACGACGGGUAGCCGGCCUGAGAGGGUGACCGGCCACACUGGGACUGAGACACGGCCCAGACUCCUACGGGAGGCAGCAGUGGGGAAUAUUGCACAAUGGGCGCAAGCCUGAUGCAGCAACGCCGCGUAAGGGAUGACGGCCUUCGGGUUGUAAACCUCUUUCGCUCACGACGAAGCGCAAGUGACGGUAGUGAGAGAAGAAGCACCGGCCAACUACGUGCCAGCCGCCGCCGUAA
rnacentral:rRNA from 1 species